rnacentral:rRNA from 1 species
AUUGAACGCUGGCGACAUGCCUUACACAUGCAAGUCGAACGGCAGCACGGGUGCUUGCACCUGGUGGCGAGUGGCGAACGGGUGAGUAAUACAUCGGAACAUGUCCUGUAGUGGGGGAUAGCCCGGCGAAAGCCGGAUUAAUACCGCAUACGAUCUACGGAUGAAAGCGGGGGACCUUCGGGCCUCGCGCUAUAGGGUUGGCCGAUGGCUGAUUAGCUAGUUGGUGGGGUAAAGGCCUACCAAGGCGACGAUCAGUAGCUGGUCUGAGAGGACGACCAGUCACACUGGGACUGAGACACGGCCCAGACUCCUACGGGAGGCAGCAGUGGGGAAUUUUGGACAAUGGGCGAAAGCCUGAUCCAGCAUGCCGCGUGUGUGAAGAAGGCCUUCGGGUUGUAAAGCACUUUUGUCCGGAAAGAAAUCCUUGGCCCUAAUACGGUCGGGGGAUGACGGUACCGGAAGAAUAAGCACCGGCUAACUACGUG